rnacentral:rRNA from 1 species
ACUAAAUAGAUACCCGGGUAGUCCACGCCCUAAACGAUGUCUACUAGUUGUUGGUGGAGUAAAAUCCAUUAGUAAACGCAGCUAAACGCGUGAAGUAGAUCGCCUGGGGAGUACGGUCGCAAGAUUAAAACUCAAAGGAUUGACGGGGGCCCGCACAAGCGGUGGAUUAUGUGGAUUAAUUCGAUGCAACGCGAAAAACCUUACCUGGCCUUGACAUGCCACUAACGAAGCAGAGAUGCAUUAGGUGCCCGAAAGGGAAAGUGGACACAGGUGCUGCAUGGCUGUCGUCAGUUCGUGUCGUGAGAUGUUGGGUUAAGUCCCGCAACGAGCGCAAACCCUUGCCAAUAAUUGCCAUCAUUUAGUU